rnacentral:misc_RNA from 1 species
UGGCAGCAUAAUGUAGUGCUGUUCUCUGCUCGCAAUCUGCAGCUUUGGGGCUAGCUCCGUGCUGAAGAAAAAACCGUAACAUCGCAAUGUUGGUCGUCAUUGAAGCGUACAGGAUUGCUGCAUUGUAACAGGAAGAAGGUUUACGAAGUACGAUGGCUGUUUCAAAAACGUAGCGUUAUGAUGAAUGGAAAUUUCAACGCGAUUUUCUACCUCAACGUGGUAAGACGGGCAACCAACCUAGUUUCCCUCGUCGGUGGCGCAUUUGCACCGAGAAAGUAACACCAAAUGUUUACCAGACUUUGCUCUCCGGAUGUAUUUACGGAUUGCAUCAAUCGGCUAGCUCUGGUAACUGUUGAACUUCAGUGGCCGGCGAUUGAUCCAACGACCUGAAAUAAACGUCUUUCAGGGCAUGAAGGAUGGAAUGUGUUAGUUCCAUGAUGCGACGUUGUUGACUGCACCGAAUUGUUGUGUUGUUGCUGGUCUCGCAAACCGUCGUUUUUUUCUUUUCGCAGUAGCAUGAAGAACGUAGGGAUUUCCGAAAUGCAACGAGACUAAGGCGAAGCCCAGUCAGAUCCAAACAACCGCCAUAAAGUAAAUCGCGCAAGGCCAGGGGGGAAAAACAUUGUGAUACUACUAUUCAGUAGUCGGGGUUCGUAAUCGGGUUUUGUAGCCGAUUUUUCCAUCGCAUUUAGACCCGAAAGCCGCUCGAAUGCCCAUGGGUAGAAAAAAAAAUGCUCCGAAACCGGCAGAAUCUCAUCGAAAAUCAAAAAAACAAAACCAGUCGGCAAAAAAGCUACCCAGUUCACGCGGGAGCUGAUCCCUAAAUUGGUUUGUAGGAAUGGGUGGCGGUUGAUUUACUGGCAGAAGCGAAGCGGCAACGUCGGCAGAACUACUUUGUUUAUGCGUUGGGCCGUAUGGAACCGCCAAGUCGCGCGUAAACUCACUGACAUAAAAACUUCACCUAGUUUUCCAAUAUAUCUAGUACUGGUGUAUUCGAAUGUUGGCAUGAAAGUUUUUUCAGUUUAAGAUGUUCGAUCUUGUCUUUUGUGGAAAUUAAUUUUAUACUUGUCAUUAUGCUGCUGAAAAAGAAAACAAAGGUGGCAGAGCUGAGAGAGUCUGGUGGGAUGACAGAAGAGAGAAAACCCAAAGUUCAUGCACAAAGAAAAUUUGCUCAAGGAAGCCCAAAUUUCACCCUUUUAAAAGAUAGAGAAAAGGAAAGUGGAUCAACAUACCAAACAAAUCAAUCAACUGCACCAGGCUCUACAUAUAAUGACCCAGCAAAUUAUGUUGUUCCAGACGUUUGCCCCAAGACUGAAGAUUUUUUAGAAUUUUUGUGUUUUCGAAGCUGCCCAAGUUUUCUUCCAGCUUCCUUAAACUAUUUUGGGGAUCCUGUAUACCAUAACUUUCCUAAUGGGGUCCCCUCUUCAGAGCAUGGCAUUUCAUCUGGAAGCACAAUUACCAAGCAAGAAAUUUGCAGCAAAGUUGAUCUGAAACAGGCAGAAGCCAAAUUGCCAAUGGCUUCCAAAUCAAAGCCACCUAAACAAACAUCACAAGUAAAGAAAAUAUCUAGUGUUAAUAAAACAAAAAUCUCAGUUGGCCGGAUUCAUUCCAGCUUUCGCAAAACUAUCGUCAAUUCCGGAAUAAUGACUCGUAUGGGUCGUAUGAAAUCUUGCACAGAUCUUUCGGCUUCCAAAUCCUCGAGAAUCCUAACUCAUAAAAAUAAAAAGGUUCAUAAAGCAAGUCCCUUGCCGAAGAGAGUAUCCACCCGUUCGCAGUUACGAAAUGCAAAAUUUCAGUCCAGUUCGAGUUCAGCAUCCUCUAACGACGGUUCAGACUCGGAUGCAGAUAGUUUAGAUGAGACAACUCCAUUUUCUGCAACUGUGAAAAGAAGAAAACUACCGCAAAACAAUCGUACCUUAUCCGCCAAGAAAAUAACAUCAAAAUUAGAACCAGUGACAAUAAAACCCCGAAUACGUAACAAGGUGGAGAAUUCCAGCAUCCCCGUAAGCAAGAAUACUCGCCAAUCAUUAAAAACUGUGGUAGCACCUAAUCAUCCGUCAAGAAAAGCUUCAAAAGACCCUGCCAAAGCCGAAUCUGUUCAGUUACAAGGAAAGCCAUUGGAUUCGGAAUCAAAACGCUCUUCUGUUAACGAGAAGUCAAAAGUCUCAUCUAUCAAGGAAAAUUCGAAAACAUCGAUCGUGAAGGAAAAAACCAAAAACCUGGUAUCGGGUUCUGAUACAGCUAAAACGAAUGUAGCAGCAAAACAGACUCGAGAAUCAUCUAAAAAACUAAAGAACCCCCCAGUCAUUGCCUCACCAACGCGACGUCCAUCACGACGAACUAAAGAAGCUGCGACAUUCUUUAUGACGCUUAUCGGUCAGGAAGAAGAAUUUUAUUCAUCCGAACUAGACGAUCACAACAUACUUCAAUAUUUGAAGGACGAGGAGAAAUCGCCUCCUAAGAAGAAAAGUCGAAUUCCUGUUGAACGCAAUCCUAAACCACCUCCCUUCGUCGCCUCCUGUUGUUCGGGGAAAAAGAAACAGCGUUGAAUUGUCAACCAGUCGUGCAAAACGUCGAUCAACUAUCCUGCAAGAAGCAGCCAAGCGCUUCACAGAGUCGCAGAGUUCCGAUAGCGACAGUUCCGAUUCCGAAAAGGGCGAUUCAUCAUGCUCACUCUCUUCUUCUUUGCGUUCUUCAUCUUCAUUAUCCUCUUCGUCAAGCGAAGAAGAUGCACCUGUUCGCAGUAUUAGGACUCGAUCAUUUGAUCCUACUCGCUCCUCCAAAACUGCGUCUAGCAAAACAAAAAAAGACGACAUUCAAGGUGCACGAGCGAUUAUGACGAGGAAGAAAUCAUUGAACCAAGCCCAGGAAACAAAUACAAAAAGGCCAGCGCGAUUGGAAAUCAAGAAUACUAAAACCACCAACGUAGUAAAAUCUGAGGCCAACGGCCGCAAGCGUUCUACCAAUAUCAAGAGGACGGUGGAAACUCCCCCAUUAAAUUAUGACCUGAGUUCGUUGAUCGAUGCACCCGUCUUCCAUCCGGACGAAAAAGAGUUUAAUGACCCCAUCGAAUAUUUAGAGAAAAUUCAACAUGAAUGUGAGCGCUUUGGCAUCUGCCGCAUAGUUCCUCCAGCUUCAUUCAAACCCGAGUGCCAAGUAGCAGAUGGAAUGCGUUUUACUGCUAACAACCAAUAUGUUCAUCGAAUGUUUCGCCGGAGAGGCACAAACUCGUGUAUUUUAGAAGCCAUUCACCGUCAUCUUAGAGAACUCAACAUAAAUUACCAACCACCCCCUUGCAUUGGUGGCAUCGAAGUAGAUCUCCCUGGCUUGUAUGAAGCUGUCCAAGAUUUAGGAGGUCCAGGUCACGUCCUCGAGAACAAUUUGUGGUCUAAAGUUGCAGAUACAUUGAAAAUUCCUCAAGGUGCCCAUGAUCGUUUUUCAAAAUUGGACUCCAUCUAUUGCAAGUACCUGCUCCCAUAUGCGACUCUGUCGGACGAAGAGCGCAAAAAACUUAUGCACAAGAUCGAAUCCCAGAAGAACCGACAUUUAACUGAUGACGAAGAUGAAAACGAAUGCGUCGUUAAGGGCAGCAGUAUGCCAUUGAGUACGUUUUAUCGCAUUGCGCGCAAUACUUUAUCGGUUUGGUUUCCCAAUACUAAUUCAUCAGCCACCGACGCAUCGGAUUUAGACCCAGCGCAGGUCGAAGCCGCUUAUUGGAAGCUAGUCACAAAACGUGUUGCACAUGUGCGUGUCCAUUCUGGUAACAUCGAUUCAGGCCAGUCUGGUUAUGGAUUUCCUUGUAACAAGACAUCUAGACAUCCAUGGAACCUGAAAGUGUUGACCAACAAUAAUGGCUCGGUUUUGCGCAGUCUUGGUCCUGUUCCGGGCUGCACUGUUCCCACGCUACAUGUCAGUAUGCUUUUCAGUGCCUCGUGUUGGUACCGUGACCCUCAUGGCCUGCCAUGGAUUGAUUAUUUGCACACUGGAGCAGAUAAGAUAUGGUACGGAGUGCCUUCACUACAAGAGAGUGUUUUACACCAAGCCAUGAAUAAGCUUGUUCCGGAUCUCGUAAAGGGUGACAAAUCCGUCUGGUUGUCUUCGGAUACUGUCAUGGUUCCUCCUACGAUGUUAGCCGAUCAGAAAGUCAGUCUGAGUCGCACCAUACAAAAGUCUGGCCAGUUUGUUGUCGUAUGGCCACGAGCGUUUACUUCUUCGCUGUCUACAGGUUAUAGCGUUUCAGAAAGCGUCUGCUUCGCUCCUAUGGAUUGGCUUCCCAUUGGGGACGCUUGUUUCAAAGAACUCAGAAUCAACAACGAACCAACUGUUUUCUCUUUGCAGCAGUUACUUUGGAGUAUUGCUCAUGACAGCCGCUCAACUGUCAACGUCUUGAAACGUGUCCUACCCAUAUUGAAACCGGACGUUGACGAAGAAAUUCAACUGCGAUCCAGUCUAAGGGACUUUGGUGUUCAACAGUGGCGAAAGUUGCCAGUUACAUCUGAGCCGAGCUCGAAAGAUGGGAAAAAGCGACGGCAGACUUCUGUCACUGAUGACGGAGAAAUGGAGUGCGAAAUAUGCCAAGCUAGUCUCUUCUUUUCGCGAGCUGAAUGCCAUUCCAAAGCAGAUUCACCUGUAACUUGGUGUCUGAUGCAUGCUCUUAAGAAAAUCAAAGACCACCCACGAGUCACGCAGCAUAUUAGGGUGUUCUACGUUCACGAUGAAGCAGAGCUUCGUAAAACAGUGCAAAGUCUGCAAGAUCACAUCAAAAGUAAAGCCUUGCGAAGGGCGCCGGCGCAUCACCGAAGCUCGACUUUGUAAUGAAAAUAAGCUCCCGAAUAGAUUUUAUGGAUUUACUAAUCAAACUUUCAAGCAAUUGGUUUACAAAUUACAAUUGCCAAGUGUAUUUUUAAUAAAAAGACAUCCGGGGAAACCGAAGUGUAA